GUUUAUUUUUUUUAAUGGCAAUGAACUUGAUUUGGUUACUUUGUGUUGUUGUGUGCCUGCCUGUUUUUUAUUUAUUUAUUUAUUGGUUAUAAUCAGUUUAUUUCAUUUUUUUCUGAAAAUUAUUUUUGGAAAACUUUUCUAUUUGCUAUAUUUAUUUGUAAAUUUUGUUUUGUUAACUCAAAAAUUUUAUAACUUGAUCACAUCUGUGUCUUAAGCUGAGGAUCCUACAAGCUAGGCAAUGUGAAAUAAGUGUAGAUGACUGAUAAAAUUCAUUUGUAUGAUCACAAAAAAGAAAGCAAACAAAGUACUGUAUUCAUGGACAAUAACUUUUGAAAAUGGAGGGUGAAAUUACCAGAUUGCUUAGAGUACUCGGUUUUUUACCAUUGUGGCAUUGCUUGCUUGUUAUACAUUUUUAUGUUUACUAUGAAUAUCAUCU
rnacentral:misc_RNA from 1 species